rnacentral:tRNA from 1 species
GGAAUAAUAGUUAAUUAUAACAUUUGAAUUGCACUCAAAAGGUAUUGGAAUCAAUUUAUUUCA